GGGGGUGACUGGUUUCGACUGCGGUAGUCGUGCCAGGAGAAGCGGGCCGAGGGUUGCGAUCACGACCUCGUAAAUCCCGAGAUCGCAAACCAAUAAGUGCCAACUCUAAGCGCACUGAGUUCGCCCUCGCCGCCUGAGGCGAGUAGCGACUCUGUCGGCCUAGGAGAGUCUCCGACCUAGGAUCCGGCAUCGUGAGGAGACUCAACCCACCGCCCCGGUCGCGGGGGAGGUGGGGAAACCAAACAGCGACUGAGCCUGUCAGUGACUAGCCUGCAAGAGCACUGGGGCUGAGAAAACGCCAAGCAAGGCUGCGCCCGGAGAAGACCUGUCUCACUGCUGUAGGACCAGGGUUCGAUUCCCUGCACCUCCACCG
rnacentral:tmRNA from 1 species